UUUAACUCUCUCUCCAACUUUUAAUAGGACAAAAUAAUUUAGAAAAUAAACUCUAAAAUACUUUUCCCAAAUCACUCUAAAUCUCUCUGAAGAAAGAUCGGAGAAGAAACCUCUCAGAAAAAAUUCCUAAUUGAAUUCUCAGCAAUCAGUGCCGAAUUACUUUAAGGAAACGCUACAUCGAAUAAAUUUACAGAUCCUUAGACGAGUAAUCCGCUUGGAAAAAGAAGAUGAUGAACAUCUACUUCAUCACACAGGAAUGAUUUUUGUUAUCAGCUUAGCAGAAGGUGUUUCAAGGUGAUGUUCUUGUGAGAGAAACCUAGAAAAGCAGAGAAUUUCCUUCAUAUAUGAUUAGCAAAAUGACCUGAAACAAAAACAUGAUCUAUGUCAUCCAUUCCAGGUAUGCUGCAGCAUGAGCCGUUUAUUGGUUCCAUGCCAAAAUUUUUGAACUUCUCAUUUGUUGGAAGUUUUUCUCUCAAUCCCCUCCAUAUGAGAAAUGAUAGUUUGAAGGGAAUAGUCUUCUGCCAUGUAAGUGAGGUGAGCUUUGUUUAUUUCCUUUUUUCCUGAUCAGACUCUUGGCUGAUGAACAUGAAAAAUUCUAAUUCUCAGUUGGUUUCCAUACUGCUUCAUCUGCAACUCCAGCCUGAUAAUAGAUUUGAGUGCCCAUGACUUUAGGAACCAAGGUAGGUGGAAUAUUUUACCUUAACAAAGCUUCAUUCCAGUGACCAUUAGCCAAGAAAUAAGAAACAUGAGUGUUGUUUAAGCUGUUGAUCUCACUUUGCCUGUAUUCUUAUACACUUCUGUACCUAUUGAUGUUACUUUGGGCGCUCAACUUAGAACAUCAAAAUAGCAUGAAUGACCUGUAUGUAUCUCAUAUUGUUAUGUCUGGUACUUUCAUGCAUUCCUAGUUUACUCUCAUUAUGUAUCAAUUGUUGAUGUAAUACCAUUUUGUGUGAGUUCAUCAUAAAUCAAUUUAACUUUACGUAGGUUGUCAACCAUGCAUCCUUGUUUCUUUAUCCACUAUAUUUUGUGUUAUUCUUAGUGUAAAUGUUUUGUUUCUUUAUCAAUCAAAUAGGCUCUUAAUAGAAGUUAAGUAUGUUAAACGAACAAUUCUAUUUAUUGCAAGCAUUGGUAUAGAGGAUCCUAGUGUAGGAAUAAUAUAAUUGUAUUGUUUCUCAUUCUAGAAAGCAAAUAGAAUUCAUAGAGCUAAGCAAAAGAUGCCUCACAUGGGAGGAUCCAAAAGCUUGUCAACCUUGAUGAAUGAAAGAGGUAGUCAUGCUUAAAUUACUUGAAUAGGUACUCGUGCAUAACAGGUAGUCCACUAAUACAGCUUCUUGCACAUCCCGUGGUAGCAUACGUUUUUACUCAUUGUGGUUGGAAUUCUACAUUUGAAAGUAUAUUGGAGGAAGUUCCAUUGAUAUGCAGGCCAUUUCUAGAAGACCAACCGGUGAACGUAAGAUAUCUAAGCCAAAUAUACACGAUUGGGUUCGAAUUGGAGGUUAUGAGAGAUCAGUCAUAGAGAAAACAACAAGAAAACAAAGUGCACCGUCAAUCGAUAUGCCACCGCCAAGAUACUGGCAAACGAAGAUGGCUGCUUUGUUUGGGUAUGUUGAUGAAUCUUUCUAUGAUAGAUGACUUGAAUGGAAAAAAGUCAAAACGGAUGUUGAUUUCCUACAAGAUGUUGGCAGAUGAUUCUGACAGGCUGAGAAAAUAGGUACAUUAGCCAAUGGGAAGGUGGAGUCAUACUCGCCCAGCCUUGUUGAGAAGAAAAAUGUGGGGGAGCUUAUAAUGAACGUUGCUUCUACUAGCUCUGUUGCCGCUGCUGCUCCUGCUACUGGUAAAGAUGCCGCAGCAACAUCUGUUGCGGGUUAGAAAAAGAUUUCUUAGAUGCUCAGUCAUUUCCACAAAAGGGGAUUCUAGGUUACCAGCAUCUGGUUGGACCAUUUUGUCAUUUUUCUCCUGAAAUAAAGUAGAGCCAUCACCAGGAUAUACAAAUUUCUCAGGAACUUUUCCAUAUACAAUCAAAGGCGACUUUUCUUGGUGCUUACAAGGGUGGUAUCAACAAUCUUGAAGAGCUACAGUGUCUGGAACAUUUGAAACUGUUGAAUGAUGUUGUUUACAUGAAUAAAAUAGUUCAACUUCCUGUAACAUUCUUCAGACUUGUACGUACAAUUAAGAAGUUAACUUUGGGAAACACAAGGUUUGCAUGGAGUGAGGCAGCCAAAUUAGGGAAAUUGGAAUUCCUUGAGGUUCUUAAGUUGAAAGAAAAUGCAUUCAUGGGUGAUACUUGGAAGCCGGAGGUAGGAGGUUUUAGCAAACUCCAAGUAUUAUGGAAUGAGAGGGCAGAAUUAGAAACUUGGGAGACGUUGAAUCAUAACUUCCCCAUCCUUGGCCAACUUGUUCUUGUCUCGUGUGAUAAGCUCAACUAUGUACCAUUUGAGUUGGCUGAUAUACCUAACCUUUACGAGAUGAGGCUAGAGAACACAAUCAAAGCAGUCAAAUCUGCAAAAGAUAUAGUGGAACAUAAGAUGAUAUCUCAAAACAUAAAAUUCAAGUUCAGUAUAUUCCCCCCUGAAACUGAAUUCAAGGCUACACAGUAAAGUUGAAAGGGGAGAACUUGGAUGUUGAGCUUGCUGGAAGCCAGGGAUCAUCAGACAAAUAGCUAGCUGGAGUAUUAAUGUCAUUUUCAAAUAAGGCUAUCUGUUGCAUUUCGAGUUCCCCUUCGUGUGGAAGCCACAGACAAAUAACUCUUUGCAUCUGUCCUAUUUUGUUAUGGUUAUAUUUUCUUUGUUUUCAUUUGUGUAAAACUCUUGUUUUAAUCUAUUGUUAGUUUCUUUGCAAUA